GUUACCCGUAAGUGUCUAUAUCAGUCUUAUCCUGGUAACUAUUGCAUGCAGUAGUGUAUGUCGGUGUUUUGGUUAAACGUAAACAGAUAAAGAAAUUGGAUUGGUGCUGAACUUUUGUAACAAAUAUGGCUGAGGCACUUGCAUGGAGCGAUGACGAAGAUUCUGAUGAACUAAGUUUCAUUGAGUCUGCGAUAGGAAUGUAUGAAUCGCAUAAGUAAGUACAUGUAUCUAACAAAACUCACCUUAACU